UACAGAGGUGGCAAGCGUUGUUCGGAAUUACUGGGCGUAAAGGGCGCGUAGGCGGCUUGGUCAGUCCCGUGUGAAAUCCCUCGGCUCAACUGAGGAACUGCACGGGAAACUGCCUGGCUUGAGUUCGGGAGAGGGAAGCGGAAUUCCGGGUGUAGCGGUGAAAUGCGUAGAUAUCUGGAGGAACACCGGUGGCGAAGGCGGCAUCCUGGACCAAUAUUGACGCUGAGGAGCGAAAGCCAGGGGAGCAAAGCGGG
rnacentral:rRNA from 1 species